UUGAAGAGUUUGAUCAUGGCUCAGAUUGAACGCUGGCGGCAGGCCUAACACAUGCAAGUCGAACGGUAACAGGAAGAAGCUUGCUUCUUUGCUGACGAGUGGCGGACGGGUGAGUAAUGUCUGGGAAACUGCCUGAUGGAGGGGGAUAACUACUGGAAACGGUAGCUAAUACCGCAUAACGUCGCAAGACCAAAGAGGGGGACCUUCGGGCCUCUUGCCAUCGGAUGUGCCCAGAUGGGAUUAGCUUGUUGGUGGGGUAACGGCUCACCAAGGCGACGAUCCCUAGCUGGUCUGAGAGGAUGACCAGCCACACUGGAACUGAGACACGGUCCAGACUCCUACGGGAGGCAGCAGUGGGGAAUAUUGCACAAUGGGCGCAAGCCUGAUGCAGCCAUGCCGCGUGUAUGAAGAAGGCCUUCGGGUUGUAAAGUACUUUCAGCGGGGAGGAAGGGAGUAAAGUUAAUACCUUUGCUCAUUGACGUUACCCGCAGAAGAAGCACCGGCUAACUCCGUGCCAGCAGCCGCGGUAAUACGGAGGGUGCAAGCGUUAAUCGGAAUUACUGGGCGUAAAGCGCACGCAGGCGGUUUGUUAAGUCAGAUGUGAAAUCCCCGGGCUCAACCUGGGAACUGCAUCUGAUACUGGCAAGCUUGAGUCUCGUAGAGGGGGGUAGAAUUCCAGGUGUAGCGGUGAAAUGCGUAGAGAUCUGGAGGAAUACCGGUGGCGAAGGCGGCCCCCUGGACGAAGACUGACGCUCAGGUGCGAAAGCGUGGGGAGCAAACAGGAUUAGAUACCCUGGUAGUCCACGCCGUAAACGAUGUCGACUUGGAGGUUGUGCCCUUGAGGCGUGGCUUCCGGAGCUAACGCGUUAAGUCGACCGCCUGGGGAGUACGGCCGCAAGGUUAAAACUCAAAUGAAUUGACGGGGGCCCGCACAAGCGGUGGAGCAUGUGGUUUAAUUCGAUGCAACGCGAAGAACCUUACCUGGUCUUGACAUCCACAGAACUUUCCAGAGAUGGAUUGGUGCCUUCGGGAACUGUGAGACAGGUGCUGCAUGGCUGUCGUCAGCUCGUGUUGUGAAAUGUUGGGUUAAGUCCCGCAACGAGCGCAACCCUUAUCCUUUGUUGCCAGCGGUCCGGCCGGGAACUCAAAGGAGACUGCCAGUGAUAAACUGGAGGAAGGUGGGGAUGACGUCAAGUCAUCAUGGCCCUUACGACCAGGGCUACACACGUGCUACAAUGGCGCAUACAAAGAGAAGCGACCUCGCGAGAGCAAGCGGACCUCAUAAAGUGCGUCGUAGUCCGGAUUGGAGUCUGCAACUCGACUCCAUGAAGUCGGAAUCGCUAGUAAUCGUGGAUCAGAAUGCCACGGUGAAUACGUUCCCGGGCCUUGUACACACCGCCCGUCACACCAUGGGAGUGGGUUGCAAAAGUAGGUAGCUUAACCUUCGGGAGGGCGCUUACCACUUUGUGAUUCAUGACUGGGGUGAAGUCGUAACAAGGUAACCGUAGGGGAACCUGCGGUUGGAUCACCUCCUU
rnacentral:rRNA from 1 species